GUUUAAAUAGCUUAAUUUAAAGCAUUAUAGUGAAGUUAUAAAGAUAAAAAUUUUUUAAACA
rnacentral:tRNA from 1 species